rnacentral:rRNA from 1 species
AGUGAACGCUGGCGGUAGGCCUAACACAUGCAAGUCGAACGGCAGCACAGUAAGAGCUUGCUCUUACGGGUGGCGAGUGGCGGACGGGUGAGGAAUACAUCGGAAUCUACUUUUUCGUGGGGGAUAACGUAGGGAAACUUACGCUAAUACCGCAUACGACCUACGGGUGAAAGCAGGGGAUCUUCGGACCUUGCGCGAUUGAAUGAGCCGAUGUCGGAUUAGCUAGUUGGCGGGGUAAAGGCCCACCAAGGCGACGAUCCGUAGCUGGUCUGAGAGGAUGAUCAGCCACACUGGAACUGAGACACGGUCCAGACUCCUACGGGAGGCAGUAGUGGGGAAUAUUGGGCAAUGGGCGCAAGCCUGAUCCAGCCAUACCGCGUGGGUGAAGAAGGCCUUCGGGUUGUAAAGCCCUUUUGUUGGGAAAGAAAAGCAGCAGGUUAAUACCCCGCUGUUCUGACGGUACCCAAAGAAUAAGCACCGGCUAACUUCGUG